GAGGGUCAAACCGAUUGGUGACGGUACCCGGCUCGAACCCGGGUGAGCAUAAUGCCUUGGGGGUUCGACUCCCUCACCCUCC
rnacentral:tRNA from 1 species